GAAUAGGGGAGCCGGAGGGAAACCGAGUCUUAAUUGGGCGUUAAGUUGCAGGGUAUAGACCCGAAACCCGGUGAUCUAGCCAUGGGCAGGUUGAAGGUUGGGUAACACUAACUGGAGGACCGAACCGACUAAUGUUGAAAAAUUAGCGGAUGACCUGUGGCUGGGGGUGAAAGGCCAAUCAAACCGGGAGAUAGCUGGUUCUCCCCGAAAGCUAUUUAGGUAGCGCCUCGUGAAUUCAUCUCCGGGGGUAGAGCACUGUUUCGGCUAGGGGGCCAUCCCGGCUUACCAACCCGAUGCAAACUGCGAAUACCGGAGAAUGUUAUCACGGGAGACACACGGCGGGUGCUAACGUCCGUCGUGAAGAGGGAAACAACCCAGACCGCCAGCUAAGGUCCCAAAGUCAUGGUUAAGUGGGAAACGAUGUGGGAAGGCCCAGACAGCCAGGAUGUUGGCUUAGAAGCAGCCAUCAUUUAAAGAAAGCGUAAUAGCUCACUGGUCGAGUCGGCCUGCGCGGAAGAUGUAACGGGGCUAAACCAUGCACCGAAGCUGCGGCAGCGACACUGUGUGUUGUUGGGUA
rnacentral:rRNA from 1 species